AAUUUUACCGUCUAUAUAAAGCUACAGUUUGACAACAGACAGGAAAUGCUGUCCGUAGACAUCAGACUAGUCUCCAUAGAUUUCUAGAACGAUAGAGAACAGGCGGAGAGCUUUUUUUGUCAAAACAAUUUCUAAAUCAAAAUCCAUACAAUUCAUAUGCAUUGAUUACAUUGAAAUUCUCCUUUUGCCCGAGGAAGAGGGGAAACAAAUAAAACGCUCUGAAUUUGCAGCAUGAGAUCCAACAUUGUUUCAGAGGCAAGUCUGUCGACCAGAAUCGGACAAUGGUGGGGGGGAGUUCCUUUCAUUACCUCAGGAUUGGUGAUUGUGUGUGGGAUCAUUUACUUGAUAUGCCUGCUGAUUGGAUAUGAUUCCUAUUAUGAGAUUUGUCUCUGGCCAGCAGAGGUAAUUUCAAAAUUUCAAGUCUACAGAAUCUAUACUUGUGUUUUAUUUCAUGGUUCAGUGCUACAUGUUAUGUUCAACAUGCUGGCAUUGGUGCCUAUUGGAAGUGGCCUCGAGCGAAUUAUGGGUUCUGUUCGAUACUUACAUGUGACAUUGCUGGUGGCCACCUGUAAUGCAAUUUUGCAUCUAUUGGUUGCUUAUUUGGCAGCACACAACCCUUUAUAUCGUUAUCCUUUGUUUAUGGACGAGUGCACAAUUGGCUUCUCAGGCAUCAUAUUUGCUAUGAUUGUCAUAGAAACUAACUUAAAUGGAAAUCAGAGUCACAGUGUGUUCGGACUAUUCAAUGUACCUGGAAAAUGGUAUGCUUGGAUUCUCCUUAUUCUUUUCCAACUUCUAAUGCCAAAUGUCUCAUUUUUAGGACAUCUGUGUGGCAUUUUGACUGGGUUUGCAUAUACAUAUGGCCUAUUGAAUUAUUUGAUAUUGGGAUCAUCAUCAUAUGCUGCUAUUGAGAGCUCUGCAAUGCUUGCAUUCUGUGUGAGACGCCCUCGAUUCAUAGUAGGUGGCAGUGGGGGUUCAGUUGCUGGACCAGUUAUGCCAUUUUCAAGUGUCUCUACUAGUGGCACAGGUUUUGGAAAUGUUUGGAGACGUCUUCGUUCAUGGUUGCCACAAAGGGAAACUUCAGCUGGUGAGCCACAGCAAGAUUCUCGAUUUCCAGGGAGAGGUCGUGCUCUUGGAUCUUUGCAAAACCAAUCAGCAACGAGGUUUGGCUCUAAUUCAGAACUACAGACCAGGCUUCUGGAAAGGAUCAGCCAACCAGAAGUACGUUCAGAAAUGAUGCCUAUUAGCACCUAUGGAAUGGUAUCUUCCAAUUCAAGGCCUUCACAAAUGGAAAACUUUCUACCGUCAGACUCUAUUGCUACAGAUCAGGUUAAUGUGCAAAAUCAUGCUGAAGCCAUUCAGAAUCUUGUUGCAAUGGGAUUUGAAAAGAAAGAAAAGAGCAACAAUUGAAAGAGUAGUUAGCGGCAGUUGAAAGAGGAGAUUAGGGCAUCAAAUCCACUACAUUAGAGAGUAAGGCAGAGGUUGCACUGGUUGCAGCAAAUGGAGACGUCACUCUAGCUGUUGAACUACUGAGCAGUCCGGAACGUUGACACGUUAGAUUUUGCUGUGAAAAUAUCAGGGCAGAUGUACAAAUGUCAAGUUUUAUAUAGAGGAUGUUAGCAUGUGGAACAAGUACAGGAAAUUCAAUUUUCGAACCUUCAAAUCAACUGGAUAUUGCAGUGCUCCAAUAAGGAACUGGCUGUAUUGCAUUUUCAUAUACCCUAGUAAGCACUGACUCCUUACAACCAAAUUAGAGGCUCUUGUUUGUUGUCCAUAAACUAGCCAUCAGUCCUUGGCUUCUAGGUUUUAAGUUUUGUGCUAGAAAUGAUCAUCAUUGUGUCAAUCUUGGCUGAUUUGUUGACAGUGAUAAUGCUGAAGAUGGAUAAUAUCUCCACUCCAAUUUAUUGCAAAGCAGAAAGUUCUCAAUUUGAAAGAGAAAUCCUUAUUGAGAUGAUUUGUUUUUCAAGCUGUAUCAGCUAUUGAUAAUUGAUAAUUGAUUUGUCUUGCAAUGUCCUAAAAUUAUUUUAAUAAUGUAAUCUCCUGGGUUUCAUUA